CACUGAAAUAGUUUAAAGGGCCGCGGUAUUUUAACCGUGCAAAGGUAGCAUAAUCAUUAGUCUUUUAAAUGGAGACUUGAAUAAAUGGUUGAACAAAUAAAUAACUGUCUUUAUUUUAAAAUUUGAAAUUAACUUUUAAGUGAGAAGGCUUAAAUAAAUCAGGGGGACGAUAAGACCCUAUAAAUCUUAUAUAAUCAUUUAUUUUUUAUUGAUAAAAGUUUUAUAAUUUAAAAUAAAUUAUAUAUUGUAUUGGGGUGAUAAAAGUAUAAUUAAUUUAACUGCUUAUAUUUGAAUACUAAUAUAUUUGGAUAUUAAUUAAUGAUCCUUUAAAAGAUUAAAAGAUUAAGUUACUUUAGGGAUAACAGCGUUAUUUUUUUUAAGAGUUCUUAUCGAAAAAAGAGUUUGCGACCUCGAUGUUGAAUUAAAUUUUCUUUAUGGUGUAGUCUUUAUAAGAGAGGGUCUGUUCGACCUUUAAAUUUUUACAUGAUUUGAGUUCAGAC
rnacentral:rRNA from 1 species